rnacentral:rRNA from 1 species
AGUGAACGCUGGCGGUAGGCCUAACACAUGCAAGUCGAACGGCAGCACAGGAGAGCUUGCUCUCUGGGUGGCGAGUGGCGGACGGGUGAGGAAUACAUCGGAAUCUACUUUUUCGUGGGGGAUAACGUAGGGAAACUUACGCUAAUACCGCAUACGACCUACGGGUGAAAGCAGGGGAGCUUCGGACCUUGCGCGAUUGAAUGAGCCGAUGUCGGAUUAGCUAGUUGGCGGGGUAAAGGCCCACCAAGGCGAAGUUCCGUAGCUGGUCUGAGAGGAUGAUCAGCCACACUGGAACUGAGACACGUGCCAGACUCCUACGGGAGGCAGCAGUGGGGAAUAUUGGACAAUGGGCGCAAGCCUGAUCCAGCCAUACCGCGUGGGUGAAGAAGGCCUUCGGGUUGUAAAGCCCUUUUGUUGGGAAAGAAAUCCAGCUGGUUAAUACCCGGUUGGGAUGACGGUACCCAAAGAAUAAGCACCGGCUAACUUCGUGCCAGCAGCCGCCGUAA